GAUGAACGCUGGCGGCGUGCCUAAUACAUGCAAGUCGAGCGAACGGACGAGAAGCUUGCUUCUCUGAUGUUAGCGGCGGACGGGUGAGUAACACGUGGAUAACCUACCUAUAAGACUGGGAUAACUUCGGGAAACCGUAGCUAAUACCGGAUAAUAUUUUGAACCGCAUGGUUCAAAAGUGAAAGACGGUCUCGCUGUCACUUAUAGAUGGAUCCGCGCUGCAUUAGCUAGUUGGUAAGGUAACGGCUUACCAAGGCAACGAUGCAUAGCCGACCUGAGAGGGUGAUCGGCCAGACUGGAACUGAGACACGGUCCAGACUCCUACGGGAGGCAGCAGUAGGGAAUCUUCCGCAAUGGGCGAAAGCCUGACGGAGCAACGCCGCGUGAGUGAUGAAGGUCUUCGGAUCGUAAAACUCUGUUAUUAGGGAAGAACAUAUGUGUAAGUAACUGUGCACAUCUUGACGGUACCUAAUCAGAAAGCCACGGCUAACUACGUG
rnacentral:rRNA from 1 species